rnacentral:rRNA from 1 species
AUUGAACGCUGGCGGCAUGCCUUACACAUGCAAGUCGAACGGAGUGGCGGACGGGUGAGUAAUGUAUCGGAACGUGCCCAGUAGCGGGGGAUAACUACUCGAAACAGUGGCUAAUACCGCAUACUAUUGGAUGAGCCCAUAUGGGAUUAGCUAGUGGGUGGGGUAAAGGCUCACCAAGGCGACGAUCCCUAGCUGGUCUGAGAGGAUGACCAGCCACACUGGGACUGAGACACGGCCCAGACUCCUACGGGAGGCAGCAGUGGGGAAUAUUGGACAAUGGGCGAAAGCCUGAUGCAGCCAUCCCGCGUGUAUGAAGAAGGCCUUCGGGUUGUAAAGUACUUUUAGCGGGGAAGCGGUACCUGCAGAAUAAGCACCGGCUAACUACGUGCCAGCAGCCGCGGUAAUUC